UUCUGCCCUAGCUACAAGUGUGGACAGGGAGCUGUACGUUGAACUUCGCUGCUUGUGUCUGCAGACCACCUCUGGCGUUCAUCCCAGCAAAAUCCAAAGUUUGAAGGUCAUGAGGGCAGGACCCCACUGCCACAAAGUUGAAGUGAUAGCCACACUGCUGAAUGGGGAUGAAAUCUGCCUGGACCCAGAAGAUCCCAGACUCGCGAAAAUAGUCCAGAAAAUUUUGAAAAGUGAUUAGUUAGCUGCUUAAUCUGUUCAUUUUCUGUCAAACCUCUUUGUCUCCCAGAAAGAAUAGGAGUUUGAAGCCUUGACUUUCUAGAGUUCUUAUUUAUCCAGGAUACCUACUCAUACUGUAUGAAAAUUUGGAUACGUUUUCCAUUCUGCCUCAAAAAGUCACAUGUUAUUCUGAGAAGACUGGUUAAUAGAUGAUAGAAGAUGAAAGUAAGCAAGGCUAGUUUCAAAAUAUGAUAAUGGUUUACCCCCUAACCUGUGGCUAAAAUGUGGCAUUGUGCUUUGCAUUUCUUUAUUUAAAAAUUUCUUUCCAAGUACAUUUGUGUUAACUUAUUUUGCUCUACUUUGCUGUUGGUCUAGACAUGCCCAUGAUGAUUAAUAGAUUCCAUAAUGUCAACGAUAUUAGAAAUCACACACAGUCCAGCAUAGAACACUUGCUCAAUAAAUGCUUGUUAAUAUGUUUAGGGACUUAAUAGAGUUUUUCAUUGUCUUAGUCCUAGGAUGUCUUGUUUUAAACAUUCUCUGAAAGAUUUUUCUAAUGUUUG